rnacentral:rRNA from 1 species
UACGGAGGUGGCGAGCGUUGUCCGAAGUUACUGGGCGUAAAGGGUGUGUAGGCGGUUGUUUAAGUUUGGUGUGAAAUCUCCCGGCUCAACUGGGAGGGUGCGCCGAAUACUGAAUGACUAGAGUGCGGGAGAGGAAAGUGGAAUUCCUGGUGUAGCGGUGAAAUGCGUAGAUAUCAGGAGGAACACCGGUGGUGUAGACGGCUUUCUGGACCGUAACUGACGCUGAGACACGAAAGCGUGGGUAGCAAACAGG